rnacentral:tmRNA from 1 species
GGGGGCGAACUGGAUUCGACAGCAGUUACAAACCCACGAGUGCAUGUCGAGAAGGUAGUAAUUCUCGUAAAUCAACUACUACAAAAAUGUUAGUUGGCGAAAACGCAGACUACGCUUUAGCAGCUUAAAUUGCUAACUGUUUUAACUUGGUGUCCGUGCCAUUGUUAUGACAGACGAUUUCACGGACUGCGGAAUUUGUAAUUCUCAUUUGCAACUUCUUAAGUAAAUAUGAGAUAGCCUAAUAAGCCCUGCUCAUC